AUGCGCUCACAUUUCCAUUGAAGAAUAAUUUUGAAACCAAUGAAUUUCUUGUUCUUGAUCUUGCCAUUGCCAAGAAAAUAAAUCCACUCUACUUCAUUGAUCCUAUGAGCUGAUUUGUGCUAGGAAGCUCAAGAAGAUUGUUGAGAACCAUGAGCAAGAAAACAUCCAAGAAAUGGAAUGAUGAUAGCUGAAUGUGCAUCAUUUCGAUGGUUUAAAACUUUGCUUUAAACUUAAAACAAACCACAAUCCAAUUGGUGAGAAAGUUACAGCUGUACGAAGUCUCAAGCCUCAAGUUUCACCUAUCUGACAAUCUAUCUUGUUCACCGGUCCUCUCCAAAUACUUCGA
rnacentral:misc_RNA from 1 species